rnacentral:rRNA from 1 species
CAAUAGCGUAUAUUAAAGUUGUUGCGGUUAAAAAGCUCGUAGUUGGAUUUCUGCUGAUCGCUGUCGGUCUGCCGUCAGGUGUGUACUGGCAGUGUUUGGCAUCUAUUCGAGGUUGAGUGUCCACUUGAUUGUGUGCACUCGAUGUCGGAGCUAAUACUUUGAGAAAAUUAGAGUGUUCCACGCAGGCGCGUGCCUUGAAUACUGCAGCAUGGGAUAUUGGAAGGCCGAUUGAGCUUUCUUGUUGGUUCUCGGUUUGAUCGGAAUGAUUAAUAGGGAUAGUUGGGGGCAUUCGUAUUCAACUGUCAGAGGUGAAAUUCUUGGAUUUGUUGAAGACGGACUACUGCGAAAGCAUCUGCCAUGGAUGUUCUCAUUGA